AUAUGAAGGCGGGCUGGAACCUCUCGGGGUUACAGCCUUGCUGAAUUAUUCACCCUUGUCUUUUGCGUACUUCUUGUUUCCUUGGUGGGUUCGCCCACCACUAGGACAAACAUAAACCUUUUGUAAUUGCAAUCAGCGUCAGUAACAAAUUAAUAAUUACAACUUUCAACAACGGAUCUCUUGGUUCUGGCAUCGAUGAAGAACGCAGCGAAAUGCGAUAAGUAGUGUGAAUUGCAGAAUUCAGUGAAUCAUCGAAUCUUUGAACGCACAUUGCGCCCUUUGGUAUUCCAAAGGGCAUGCCUGUUCGAGCGUCAUUUGUACCCUCAAGCUUUGCUUGGUGUUGGGCGUCUUGUCUCUAGCUUUGCUGGAGACUCGCCUUAAAGUAAUUGGCAGCCGGCCUACUGGUUUCGGAGCGCAGCACAAGUCGCACUCUCUAUCAGCAAAGGUCUAGCAUCCAUUAAGCCUUUUUUCAACUUUUGACCUCGGAUCAGGUAGGGAUACCCGCUGAACUUAAGCAUAU
rnacentral:rRNA from 1 species